rnacentral:rRNA from 1 species
AGGACGAACGCUGGCGGCGUGCCUAACACAUGCAAGUGGAGCGACGACCCGGGCUUCGGCCCGGUGCAAAGCCGCGAACGGGUGAGUAACACGUGGGUAACCUGCCCUGAUGAUCGGGACAACUCGAGGAAACUCGGGCUAAUACCGAAUGUGCCCUCCGGCCGUAAGGCCUCUGGGGAAAGGAAGCUUCGGCCUCCGCAUCGGGAUGGGCCCGCGGCCCAUUAGCUUGUUGGUGAGGUAACGGCUCACCAAGGCAACGAUGGGUAGCUGGUCUGAGAGGACGAUCAGCCACACUGGGACUGAGACACGGCCCAGACUCCUACGGGAGGCAGCAGUGGGGGAAUCUUGCGCAAUGGGCGAAAGCCUGACGCAGCGACGCCGCGUGGGGGAAGAAGGCUUUCGGGUUGUAAACCCCUUUCAGGAAGGACGAAGCCACUCGGGUUAAUAGCCCAGAGGGUGACGGUACUUCCAGAAGAAGCCCCGGCUAACUACGUGCCAGCAGCCGCGGU